ACCAAACGAAGCUGAUUCGGGAGAAGCACAAAGCCAGGACCCAGAUUUGCCCACAAAUUCUCCCACACACGCUCCCCAGGCUGGCAGGCACAGCCCAUCGCGGAGCCGACGUGCCCGGAGAGAAGCGGGGUCUGCUCGGGUUCGGGGGACCCGAGGAGCUACGCUCUCCGCUCCCUCCCUCGGCGCCGCCGGCAAAACGCGCGGACUCCGGGAAAAAACAAAACCCCACUUGGUGUGCUGCAGUUCCACUCCCCGUGACACUCGCUCCGCUCGUCCCCCGAAAAGCGGACACGGGGGCAGAGAGGGGCGGACGCGGACGCGCAGCCAGACCCAGACCCCGCAGCAGAUAAAAGGGCCGAAAAACACUCCGUCAGAGUUCUUUUCCGGGGUGGGUGAGGUGAAACGAGAGACGGGUCUGACUUACAAGAAGGGGAGAGGGUCGGGGAGGGCUCGAGGGGAAAGUAGUGCCCCCCAAAGCUGAACUAUCUGAGAAAGGGAAGCAAAGAAAAAUCACUUUCCUGAAGAUAAAAGGCCGGGGAACCGGCUGGCCGCAGUCACAAAGGACGGCAGCUGAGGAGGAAAACUUUUGUGCUCUGAUUGAGAAGAAAAGCGGAACUCUAGGAAAAGAACAGAGGAACACCAUCCUUGAGCUUUGACAGAAAGAAGACCUCUCAGAGGAGGAAGGCAGAGGAACUGUUAAGAGACGGAAGCAUACAGCCCAAGUCAGGCCAGGCAGAACCAAUAAGGCUAACUGACAGCCUUUUGCAGGUUUCUUAACCAUGAGGAAAGCACAGUAAAGAGAGUCUGGACUCAGGCUGGAUGCAGUAACUGGAUAAAACUCGAGUGGUGCUGAUGAGGCCAACACUUCAGAGGAGGCAGAGCAACAGUGAAGAACUAACUUGGAUCCUCAAAUGACCUCCUGGAAUGGAGCCACCUACUUACCUUGGAGCACAGAUGGAAAUAAAUAAACUCUGUUUUAUAUAAAG